CCUACGGGAGGCAGCAGUGAGGAAUAUUGGUCAAUGGACGAGAGUCUGAACCAGCCAAGUAGCGUGAAGGAUGACUGCCCUAUGGGUUGUAAACUUCUUUUAUAUGGGAAUAAAACGUUCCACGUGUGGGAUUUUGUAUGUCCCAUAUGAAUAAGGAUCGGCUAACUCCGUGCCAGCAGCCGCGGUAAUACGGAGGAUCCGAGCGUUAUCCGGAUUUAUUGGGUUUAAAGGGAGCGUAGGUGGAUUGUUAAGUCAGUUGUGAAAGUUUGCGGCUCAACCGUAAAAUUGCAGUUGAAACUGGCAGUCUUGAGUACAGUAGAGGUGGGCGGAAUUCGUGGUGUAGCGGUGAAAUGCUUAGAGAUCACGAAGAACUCCGAUUGCGAAGGCAGUUCACUGGACUGCAACUGACACUGAGGCUCGAAAGUGUGGGUAUCAAACAGGAUUAGAUACCCCUGUAGUC
rnacentral:rRNA from 1 species